CUGGAGUUUGGCAGAGGGGGGUGGAAUUCCACGUGUAGCAGUGAAAUGCGUAGAGAUGUGGAGGAACACCAAUGGCGAAGGCAGCCCCCUGGGUCGAUACUGACGCUCAUGCACGAAAGCGUGGGUAGCAAACAGGAUUAGAUACCCUGGUAGUCCACGCCCUAAACGAUGUCAACUAGGUGUUGGGAGGGUAAAACCUUUUAGUGCCGUAGCUAACG
rnacentral:rRNA from 1 species